GCGUUCGCUCCUGCCUUCUUGGCUCUCGGGGCACAGCGCGCGGCCCGGUCCGGAGCAGGGCGGACAUGAGCGCCAAGCAGAGCGGCCUGGCCGCCGCUCACGGCGCACGCGCGCGUACUCGGCUCGGAUCUACCUUCCAGUAGCAGCGGAGUGGCCAAUGGGACCGGGACCAGAGCCGGGGGCCGGAGGCCGCCGCCGCGGGGAGGUUCCCGGCCCAGGUGCCCAGCGCUCACCAGCCCGGCGGCGCCGCGGCGGCCCCGCAGCUGUUUCCUCGGGGGGGCGUGGCGUCGGGGGCCUUCGCGGCGCAGUCCUCUUUCAGCAUCCCGAACAGCAGCAGCGGCCCGUAGGACUCGCAGGACUCGGUGCACAGCAGCCCUGAGGAUGGCGGCGGCGGCCGGCACCGGCCGGUGGGCUGGAGCCCCGGCGGGCCGCUCCUGGUGAUCGGCUCCUUACCAGCUCACCUCUCACCGCGCAUGUUUGGAGAUGAAGAUCACGCAGAAAAUCAGCAGAGCUAGGCAAUAAGUCAAUCUAAAGUCUACAUGCCCCUCCCUCUUCCCAUGGAUUCACGCCAAGUGACACGGAAAGCCACC
rnacentral:lncRNA from 1 species